AGCUCAGGCCUGGUCACCCCGACACCCAUCCGCCGGUCCCGGGCCUACGAGGAGCAGGACACGCGCAAGCGCCCGCCGGCCCAGCCUAGGGCAGCGGCCGUCAUCUUGGGGCGUGCAAGCCGCUACCGAGGCCCCAGGCGGAACAGGAUAGGACUCCAUGUUCCCAAAGGCCUCCAAAAACCCCUCCCUGCUUCCCACUGCCGGCCCCUAGCGCCCAUUUAACACACGAACCUUCCACGAGGACGCCUGGCGAGAGAAAGGACUCGCGCCCGCGCGUGCAUUUUAUAUGCAAACAAAGUAGCCAAUCAGAAACCGCGUAUAGCGCGCCUAUCUAUUGGCUGGCGCCAUCGCCCGUCCGACAAAGCUGAACGAACACAGGCAACCAUUGGAUAAUAUCGCUGCCACUCCAGCCAACGGAAAGCCGCUUUUAAGUAGGGUCGCGAAGGAAGGCGCUGCCUCACGUUGGAGGAGCUUGCUCUGAGCUGCUGCCACCUGCUGGGCUGGAGCUGGAGCUGCGAAAUCGGACUCCCGGUUCCGUCUGCCACCUGGUGAGCUCAGCAAACUAAAAGUCUCUUUGUCUUCAUCGUUUCCGGCACUGAUCUGAACACAUCAUAAGCACAAGACCUGGACACCUUUACAAUAAGAAGUAGCACCUGUCUGGAACUGUAUCUUGACUCUCACUGGUGCUUUUCCUUUGGUUGAUGCAAAGCUUUUGAAUCCUUUAGGGAGAUGCCAUUGGCCUAGGACUGGAGCUCUGGAUCUGACCGGAGCAAAGAGGAAGCACGCAAAUCCGGACAUGACGACGAGGAGGCAGUAGAGACCCAUCCUCAACUGAAUGGCCCAGGGCCACUGCACAGGGCUGGACUGGGGGACAUGUCUACCUUGCUCCUGGUUUGUCCCAGCCUCAGUACAAACCCUGGCCCAGGACCUACUGAACUGGAGGAAGGAGAUCCCCUGCCUGCUCCCCCAAUUAAUAACCCCAAAUGAGGCCUCUGAGUUGGAUCCAGACAGCACAACGAGCAAGACCCCUCUCUCCCCACUGCCUGCUCCUCGCCCCUCCAGAUGUGGUCAGGGGCUCCUUACCCGGCACACGAAGCACUCAGGAUGCCACAGCGUGUUGAGGGCUGAGAUAUAGUUCUCCAGGAUGGCCCGGGCGCAGCCGCCACACUUGGGUGCGAACAUGUCGAAGUAGUCCUUGCGGCAGUAGGCCUUGCCGUCCUUCUCGUGGAACCCUGGGGAGCGGGGGUUUUGGAGGCACAGUUCAUUCCAGCUUCCAGAAGUGGAGCCAUUCUGACUCCAACCUCAGCAGCGUCUCCCACCCCCACCUCCCCGGCCCUCCUAAGAGGCGGUGGGUCAGUCCGCCGGUCCAGCCCGUACCUUCGGGACCAAAGAAGGCUCCACACUGGGCACAGAAGAAGUGUUCAGGGUGCCACGUCCGGUCAAGGGCUGUCACCACUUUCUGUGAAAGCAAAGUGUCGGAUCAAGGCUGAGCUCUGGGCAGAUCUCACAACUGAGACGCCCAGCGAGGCCGUCCUUCCACCCGCAGCUCAUAGCCAUAGACAGAGCAAAACACUCCCAAGAUAGGGGUCUCUCCUAAUUGUGCUGUGAAUGCCUCUGAGAAUUCAGAGUUACUCAGGAUGGGACAAGCCAGACACACACCCUCUCCUCUAAUCCUCACCCCCAGUAGAGGGCACAAGUUCUACUGUGACUCCCAUUUUAUAAGUGAAGAAACAUAGACUCAGAGAGGCCAGGCAUUUCCUAAGUUCACAGAGCGGGAGAGUGAGGCCGCUGGCUCCUGAGUCCUGGGAGUCUCCACAGAAAGGAAUUGAGAUGGGAGGUGAAGGGAGGUGGGGCUGCCCGAUGCACAUCGGGACAGGCUGUGGUUCAGGUGUGGCUGUGAAUCCGGCCCCACUGUUCCCUAGCCCUGUGAGCCUCCCAAGGCACCCCCUGCACCCUCAGAGGGCUGCGGUGAAGCUGGAAUGAGCGGAAGCGGGCGCAGUGCCAGAUGAGGAACUCACAUCCAGGAUGGGGCCGUUGCAGUAGUAGCAGCGCGGGGAGAAGAGGUUGUGGUAGUCCUUUUCACAGUAGGGCUGUCCAUCCCGCUCGAAGAAGUUCCGGGAUCCGAUCUCCUCCUGGCAGUGGGUGCAGACGAAGUGCUCGGGGUGCCACGUCUUCCCCAUGGCGGUCACAACCUGAGGAGGAGAUGGAAUGCGGUCCAGGGCCGAGGCCAGCCCCAGAGCACCCCCACCCCUGCAGGAGUCCACUGGCCACACCCCGGCCCACUCCCCCUCAUCACCUGCCCGGCGAUGGGUUUCUUGCAGGCCCCACAGACUCCUUUGGCGACCGUGGCAACCCCCAGCUUGUUCAGGUCGGACUGCAGGCUCCCCAGCAUGCUGUCUAGCUGGCUCCCGGGCUUCGGGGGCCCCCCAGGGGGUGAGCUGCUCCCUGUCUUCCCCUGGGCCAUGAACUGUGGAAACAGGGAGGGGGCUGGUCAGGACUCCUGAGGCUCGGGGUACAGUGUCUGGCAGCACAGGGAUGGGGGUACUUUUCUCCCUCCUGGACAGAUGAGCUGAUGGAGACAAGAAGUACAACCUCCUCCAGGGGCCAGAAGCCCUAAAGUGGGAGUGACGUCAGCAGGACUCCUGGUGGUUGGAGGGGCCCACCAGGGUCGGAAAGGCUCAGGGCACCCAGCAGGCAUGGCCAAGCCCAGGGAGAGCACGACACGCAGGACACCCAGCCCAGCCUUGGCACUGACCCCUCCCUCGUCCUGCCCUCCAGGGCUGCUCCGCCCGCCGUCCCGAGGCCAGUCGGCCGCCCAGCACCGCUCCCCAUCUGCUCUUUGCUCCAGGCCCUGGAUCUUAGAUAGGGGAAGAGAUGAGGAUAAGAAAUCUUUUUUAAAAAUUAAAGAAUACGAGACCUUGUCACUGG